rnacentral:lncRNA from 1 species
GUCAAAAUCAAUGAUGGUAUAAGAUUCAUUGGGAAGGGGUCCGACUUCAAGCAAUUUAUCCAAGAAUUCAACCGGAGAAUCAACUGUGUAAGAAUAAUGCGCAAGAUAUGGCUUAGCCCAGUCUAGGAUAGCUUUUUCUAAUGGGAAAAUAGGCGAUGAUUUUUUGUCAACCAUAGGCCUGACAUUUAUGGGUGUUUUAUGAGUUUUUACAUAGCCAAAUAAUCUAGGUGGGUAUGGGGCAUCAAGAGGUUUAAAGGCCCAUUGUUGGGGGAAGUAUUUGGAAUUGGCAGUUCUCAUAAAACACCCAUAAAUGUCGGGCCUAUGGUUGACAAAGAAUCAUCGCCUGUUUUCCCAUUGGAGAGGGCUGUCCUGGACUGGGCUGGGCCAUGUUUUGCGCAUUAUUCUUGCACGGUUGAUUCUCCGGUUGAGUUCUUGGAUGGGUUGCUUGGGGUCGGACCCCUUCCCAAUGAGUCUUGUACCAUCAUUGAUUUUGGUUCCUUGUAUCCUUCGAUUGAGCGUGCGCCC